CGGCGGGGAGGAGUUUCCUUCUCGGAGUAGGGCUUCUUUCACACGGUUUCGCCCAGCAAGAUUACCUGCGGCGGAGGUUGAGUAGGGGUUGUUGUCUUUGCCGCGGACCCCCUCCACUGGGAGGGGUCGGGUGGGAGGAAUCGUCGAGGUUGCCAGUUUCUCCUGGAGGCAGAUGCCUUCUGACCCCAGCGCUCCGGUCCACCUCCCACACAGACAAUCAGGUCCGUCCCCGGAGUCUCAGGUGGCACCACGGCGGCAUCCUAGGCUAAUGAUUUGGUGGAAAGGGAAGGGGUGGUCCUUCUGCCUGGACCCCUCUCGGCUGACUCACAGGAAGUGCUAGCAGGGCCGGGCACUGGGCGCAGCAGCUCCAGGAUUCCGCCCUCCCCGCCGCGUCUGCCGCCCUCUCCCUCCUACGUGGGCUUUGCCGUAUCUCCCGUAGAACAAUGAAGGACUUCCAAGUUUGCUAAGACUCGCAGGCACAUUCUUUGGACUUCUGUGAUAGUCUUCAAAAUGUUUUGCCACCGACUUUUACAAGAAGCUGUUUUUUAAAAAGCCCUUCCCUUCGUGGAUUGCUUUGUCUGAAGAUUACUCAGGGUGACCAUGGUUCAGCGCUUUAGCCUCAGGAGGCAGCUAUCCAAGGCGGGCCUCUCACUGUUGUGGCCUCUCCCGUCGCGGAGCACAGGCUCCAGACGUGCAGGCUCAGCGGCCAUGGCUCACAGGCCCAGCCGCUCCGCGGCAUGUGGGAUCUUCCCGGACUGGGGCACGAACCUGUGUCCCCUGCAUCGGCAGGCGGACUGUCAACCACUGCGCCACCAGGGAAGCCCUGAAGAUAACUUCUGCAUGUAACACAUAAGUUUGUAGUAUAGAGUUACCAACCCUUUAAGAAAUUUUUUAGAUGGACCUCUUUGGAGUAAGUUAACCAUACUAUAAUGAAAGCACAUUUUGGGAAUGGUGUAUAAAGGCAAGAAGACAUUUUACUUGUUAUAUCUGUAUGUAGAAGUGGCAUGUAAUACUUAAUAAAAUAUUCUGAUUUGUUCUUAA